GAUGAACGCUGGCGGCGUGCCUAAUACAUGCAAGUCGAGCGAACGGACGAGAAGCUUGCUUCUCUGAUGUUAGCGGCGGACGGGUGAGUAACACGUGGAUAACCUACCUAUAAGACUGGGAUAACUUCGGGAAACCGGAGCUAAUACCGGAUAAUAUUUUGAACCUCAUGGUUCACAAGUGAAAGACGGUCUUGCUGUCACUUAUAGAUGGAUCCGCGCUGCAUUAGCUAGUUGGUAAGGUAACGGCUUACCAAGGCAACGAUGCAUAGCCGACCUGAGAGGGUGAUCGGCCACACGGGAACUGAGACACGGUCCAGACUCCUACGGGAAGCAGCGGUAGGGAAUCUUCCGCAAUGGGCGAAAGCCUGACGGAGCAACGCCGCGGGAGGGAUGAAGGUCUUCGGAUCGGAGAACUCUGUUAUUAGGGAAGAACAUAUGUGUAAGUAACUGUGCACAUCUUGACGGUACCUAAUCAGAAAGCCACGGCUAACUACGUG
rnacentral:rRNA from 1 species